GUACGGUGUUGUGGGAAACGCAAUUUCGUCUGUCCGAAAUCGUACGAAAUCGAAUGUCCAUAAUACCGCGAGAGCUCGAUUUGUCGUUUGUUAUUCGCGGCGAUGUUUUUCGGCAGAUGGGAUAACGACGGGUUUCAAAGUUCAACCUGCACGUUACAAGAUGGAUCGCGAGUUUUGUUAUUGAAAAAAUGUAAUUUAAAUUUUGUUUUUUUUUUUUUUUAAUUUCUUUAAUAGGUCAAACUCCCAUAAAUAUAUUCAUCGCCGUAAUACCGUUAUUCGUGUACUGUAAGGUUACUGUUUUUUUUUUUUUUUUUUUUUUUAGUCUGAUGGUUUUCGAAUCGAAUUUUCAUUACGCAUACCUAAUUUUAUUUGUUUGUAUUUAUUCUUCGCGCGAUUCGUUUUAAUCAACGGAUUAUUACCGAUGCAACUUUUUCGACGAUGAACCGCGCCCGCGAAGUAAUACGCAACUCGAUAACGGAUUUUACAAUAAUAGCGUAGUUUACACGUGAAAAGCGACACUCGCUGGCGUUUCGAAAACAUAAAAUAGGCAGUAAAAAAUGUUAAUAAACAGUUUUUCUCGCCGAGAGUUCGUGGGCCCCGUAAAUAAAUCAAAACCGUUACGCGAGGUAUUGUUGAAUGUUAUUGUUUUGCUGCAGCUCGUCCGCGCAUAUAAAUGCAAAUUCGAAAAACGCGGACGAGCUCUUAUAUAAUAUCCGGUUUAAUAUUAUUACUGUAGGCGUGACGGAACCGAACGAAACAAAUCCGUUUGCGUUGAAAACAACAAUACGUAAAAAGCCGGACCGCACUUCACUACGCCGUCGUCAAUAGAUCAUCGCGCUUGUAAUGCGUAGACAGCUUUGAAAACGGUACAGGACAAUACGCAUUUCG